rnacentral:rRNA from 1 species
AUUGAACGCUGGCGGCAUGCCUUACACAUGCAAGUCGAACGGUAGAGGGGGCAACCCCUCGAGAGUGGCGAACGGGUGAGUAAAGCAUCGGAACGUGCCCAGUAGUGGGGGAUAGCCCGGCGAAAGCCGGAUUAAUACCGCAUGAGACCUACGGGUGAAAGGGGGGGAUCGCAAGACCUCUCGCUAUUGGAUCGGCCGAUAUCAGAUUAGGUAGUUGGUGGGGUAAAGGCUCACCAAGCCAACGAUCUGUAGCUGGUCUGAGAGGACGACCAGCCACACUGGAACUGAGACACGGUCCAGACUCCUACGGGAGGCAGCAGUGGGGAAUUUUGGACAAUGGACGCAAGUCUGAUCCAGCCAUUCCGCGUGCAGGAUGAAGGCCCUCGGGUUGUAAACUGCUUUUGUACGGAACGAAAAGGUCUCUCUUAAUACGGGGGACUCAUGACGGUACCGUAAGAAUAAGCACCGGCUAACUACGUGCCAGCCGCCGCCGUAAAAC